GCCGGGUGCGGUGGCAUGUGCCUGUAAUCCAAGUCACUGGGAGGCUGAGGUUGGUGGAUCAAGUGAGCUGAGGAGCUCUGGGCUGCAGCACGCUAUGUCGAACGGGUGUCCACGCCAAGUUCGGUAUCGAUAUGGUGUUCCUGGGGGAGCCCGGGACCACCAGGUUGUCUAAGGAGGGGUGAACCGGCCCAGGUUGGAAACGAAGCAGGUCAAGUCACCCGUGCUGUCCAGUAGUGGGAUAAUACCUGUGAGUAGAUGCUGCAGUGCAGCCUUGGCAAAACAUCGAGACCUAAUCUUUC
ensembl:misc_RNA Metazoa_SRP Metazoan signal recognition particle RNA